rnacentral:rRNA from 1 species
AGAGUUUGAUCCUGGCUCAGAAUGAACGUUGGCGGCGUGGAUUAGGCAUGCAAGUCGGACGGGGCCGCAAGGUACCCGUGGCGCAAGGGUGAGUAAGGCGACGGUAACCAACCCCGGGGCUGGCCAUAGCCGAGGGAAACCUCGGGUAAUUGCCAGCGACGCGACGGGCCGGCAUCGGCCCGUCGCCAAAGGUGUGAUUCCGCCCCGGGACGGGCCGUCGUGGUAUCAGGUCGUUGGCGGGGUAACGGCCCACCAAGCCUCUGACGCCUACCGGGCGUGCGAGCGUGGCCCGGCACACUGGGACUGAGACACUGCCCAGACUCCUACGGGAGGCUGCAGUCGAGAAUCUUCGGCAAUGGGCGCAAGCCCGACCGAGCGACGCCGCGUGGAGGACGAAGGCCUUCGGGUUGUAAACUCCUGUCGGGGGAGAGGAACGGGCCGUGAAGAGCGGCCCUUGACCGAUCCCCGGAGGAAGCACGGGCUAAGUUCGUGCCAGCAGCCGCGGUAAGACGAACCGUGCGAACGUUAUUCGGAAUCACUGGGCUUAAAGCGCGUGUAGGCGGGCCGGUACGUCGGUCGCUGAAUGCCCCCGGCUCAACCGGAGAAGUGGCGGCGAUACGACCAGUCUGAGGGG